CGUGCUUGCAGUCAUGAUUUUUGUUACAGAAAUAACUAUAAUUUUUUAUAUCACAAUACUUACAAAUCAAUUAACUGCAAGUUAAUAUUCUGCGUAGUAUUUUGAAAGUAACUUUUAUUCCGGAGAGAGAAAAAUUGCAUAAUUGUUAGCCUUACAGCUUAUGACGUUUUAUUUAGGGGACGAAGACCGAUGCAGAGAUGCAACAGGGCUAGCUAGCUAGAUGAGCAGGCUUCAAAACGAAUAUUUAGGGUCUGUGCACCCCAGUUAUUUUUUCGAAGUCCCAAUACCGCGGGAAAUAUUUAUUAUUUUGGACUAGAAUUUUAACGACGUUAGUUGAACGAAUCGGUUACUUAAAUUAACUGAGAUGGCUAGCUAAGCAGGACAUUGUUAGUUAGCAUUAUAUCGUUAGCUAGCUAGCUGUCUAGCUUAUUUUGUUGGUAGCACAGUUAGCUAGCUAGCGCUGGAUAACUAACUAGAUAUGUAUAUUUUUUGAGCUGACCAGACAGGUUUAGUAUCUAAUAUGAUAGUUUUAAGCAACCUUUAUAUUAUUACCCAAUCUGUGAUCAACAGUAUCUGUGGAAACUCGUAGUUGGAGACGCAUAGAUGUGUUGUGAUCAUAAUAUUAGUAGGGAGGAAUAGACGAAGCAUUAUUCUGAAACAUUUUCUAAAAUAUAAUAUCCCGUUUUUGAACAAACCACAUAUUUUACACCCUAUUGAGACCUGACGGCGACAAAUCCUGGACACUCUUACCCACAGUGACAGCCAGGCAGAGCUUUUCCAAGAUGGAUGUCCAGUUGUCCAUCAGCUUUCUGAGGGCCAGACUUGGCGGAGCCAUUGAGGAGGCAGUGCGCACAGCAGUGGAGACUGUGCUGUGUGAGACUGUCCGUCUGUUAACUGGGCCCCAGGGGGAUCAGCAGCAGGGCCUCUCUUCCGCGACCCAGAGGGAUCUGGACUCCCUGGCGGUGAAACAGAGAUUAGAGGGCUCUGGCCGUGCUGACUGGAGGGCACAUGCUGGGUCUUCAGGGUUGUUCUGUAACACAGGUCAAAGGGGUAUUGGUGGUGGGCGCGGCAACACUAAGGGCAUAACGGGUCAGACCACCUGCUCAGCCUCCUCCCAGUCAUUACAGAGGAGCACCGUGGAGCCCCCAACCCUGGAUGCGGUGGUGGACUGCACUGGCCUGCCCGACCCGUUUGAUCUGGUGUCGGCCGGGCCGGUGAUGGUGGACUUCGAGGAGGGGCCGGGCAUGGGAAUCCCAGAGGAGUGGGAGCUGAUGAACAGAGUGUACAAAACAGAGCACAGCGAGGACAUGGCCCUCAUUGACGAGGGUGCCACGGCUCACUCAGCCGAUGACCACAGGCUGCAUGAAGGAGAUCAGAGGACUUCGGCUUUGCCUUUGGAGGACGGGAUGUCUGCCAAGCCUGAAGACACAUUGCACCCCUGCUUCAGCCCAGCCAACGUCAAAACAGAGCAACCCGAGAUGGGGAGCUGCUGCAUGUCUGAGGGCGCCCCUGCUGUCCCUGCCCCGGCCAAUAGUGGCAUGGAGGAGAGUGAGUUCGGGGGGGGGCAGGUUGAGGCCGGCCCCCAAGACUUUGCAGGUCGCCUGCGCCUUUGGCUGGAGCAGCUGUGCCCCGAGGUGGCCCGCGAGUACGAGAGGGAGGGCUGUCUGUGCGAGCUGUCCCGCCGGAAGCUCAUCAAGUUCUCUGUGUCUUUCAUCGUGGAGGAGUUUGGAUUCUACCCCACCUCCGCCCAGAAGACCAUGCUGGCAGAGAACAUAGUGGAGCUCUUCCCAGGACUCCGGCUGUGUGCCCCCUCCGCUGGCAUCAAUGGCAUUGAACAUUUGUACGACCCGCUGUCCCGUACGGGUUACAUUGAGACCCGCCUGCGCAACUCCCGACGUACCCUUGAGGCCCACAAGAAGAAGUAUGUGCUGAAGAGACGUUGGCCAGAGCUGGGUGUGGCAGACCCCCCAGGGCCCAGAACGGGGCCCGGGCCCCCAGAGAGCCAGUCCAAUGAAGAGACCCAGCGGUGGGUGGACCUGAUGAAGAGAACCAGGCCGCUGACCAGGAAUCUGCCGGCCAUCCACGGUGCAAUGGACCUCACAUUCAACGCACGCAGGCGGUGGAUCAGCAACGCACGGCCCAGUAUGAGGGAUGUGCUAGCUGAGUACCCACGUUUCCUGGACGUGCCUUCCACGAUUGACCUGGAGUUUGAGAGGAUGUUCCCUGGUAAAGGCCACUCCUUCCUGGCCCAGUGGUCGUCGUUUGUGUUGCCCCGGGUUUACCAGAUCACCGAGCAGGAGAAACACCCGGACAUUUCUGCACUCCUCCAACAGGCUGCUGCACAGCAAGGAGACUCGUACACCCUGACCAUGCUGAAGGUCCUGCUCUACGUGCUGCCCCCGACAGCCUGCCGAUCCUCCUUACCCUGCCGGUCCAGCAUCAGACAAGCCAUUCGCUACCUGGUGGACAUUUUACCGAUUGACACCAAGGUGUCCUCCUUAUUCUGUGACCCGAGCUCCCUGGAGGGCCCCGAGUCUGUCUCCCACUCUCAUCCCUACAUAGUGAGCGUGGGUUCGCUGGACACCCCUGGCCGGCAGCUAUGCAUCCUGUCCCCAGCUGACAGGAUGGCCAUCCCUCUACCAGAGGAGGGCCUGAGCAAUGCCCUGGACAAGCUCUUCAAGCUGCUCCGCGUGUUUGAACUGGGCUACCCGGAGCAGCUGACCUGCCUGUACAGCUUCCUGGAGCACCUGUACGGGCUAGAGGUGACCCCGCGUGGUAACCACGACGACCCCAGUGGCAAAAGGUCGAAAGUGCUGGAGCUGUUGUCACGGCUGCACAUGUCCUCCUGACACACUGCACGGGCCCACCAGGUGUGAAGUUGACUCCCCACAAUCUCACUUGGGUGUAUUCAUUCCGCCCAUUGUGUUGUAAAUUGUUGUUUGUUGCUAAAUAUUUUGCAGCUGCGAUCAUUUACUCCAAACUCCAAGCUUACAUUUUUACUUUUUUUUAAAACAAUAAGCCUCUGGAAUUAGUUGAGCAGAACCCUAGAGUCAUCACUCCACUUCAGAGCAUGACAAAAUCCAUGAUAUAUAAAUGUGCAAGUUGUGCCUAAAACUAAGCAGAUUAUUAAGAGCAAGGCAUGUUUCCUCCGAAACACACAAUUAUGCACUACUUCCUGUCCAAACUGCUGGCUGGAGGGAAUGCUUUCUCCGGCCAACCACUUCUAUUAAGCUCACAGGUGCCCAAGAUGCUACAAGGACUUGUAAGAUUAGAAACCCAGAAACAUCCAAUCUCAGUAGUUUUAAAAUUAAGAGGGAGUGCUGGGCCAGUUUUAACAGCACACACUUGAGUAGGCAUAACCUAAUGGAAAAAUGCAAAUACACGCUUGCUAUUUCACUAGCUACUGAUUCACUGAUAUAUCAAAAUCCUGUUAUCUAUCUCACUAGCUACUGAUUCACUGAUAUAUCAAAAUCCGGUUAUCCGAGAUCCGGAACAGACUGGGUCGGAUACAACAUUGUGUAGUCUGCUGUCGGAUUACCAUUAAGAUGAGGAGAUUUGCUUUCGUUGCAAGCUGACAUUAAUGCUGCUAGAAUGGUGUGGAGGAAUGCGCGUGCGCUUCGUUUCAAUUGUGCUGGGUUGUAUCUUGACCUGCUUCCUGCUGCCCGGGUGUUAUAUAAACCUAGAAUCUGCUCCGGUGUCUUACAUCUCUAGCUUUUACGUAAUCUAGAAGAGCAUUUGGAGUAAACUGGUUUCUUUUGUGUAACAUUUUGCGACAAACAAAAUAUUUUGCAACAGUAAAGGUUGAAUAAACACCCCAAACCCCAGAUUCUUUAGCUGGAUUUUAGUAAUAUAACCAAAACAUGUCAGACAGAACUGAAUAGUGAUGGAACAAAAAGUGGUCUUUGUCUAUUAUUCACUGAAUUUUUACAUGCGUAAGGCAAAUACUUUCAUAAACAAUUCUAUGAAAUCUUGUUGACAAGGAAUUUUCCUUAUUUUGUACUUUUAGAUAACUUUCACAAUUGUUUAAGUAUUUAACUUGCUAAUGAUAUGUGAUGUCUUAUGUCUUGUGGUAUUUUUUAAAUAAAAGAAAUGUUUUCACUGUCCAAAUGUAAAUUAUAAAUAAUACUUGGC
ensembl:lncRNA